UAAGCUCUCGCGGGCCGGAUCAAAUGACGCGGCGGGCCGGAUCAAAUGACGCGGCGGGCCGGAUCUGGCCCGCGGGCCGUGAGUUUGACACCCCUGUUCUAGGAGAUCGUCUGAUUCAUUAAUCAUGCUCUUUGGUUUUUGUGUGGCUACUUAUCAAUGGAAUCACACUCCGUCGUACCCAAUUACCCACUGCAUUACGCUUCCUCUCUACUGAUGUUGAUCUCCACUCUGACUGAGGAGAGCCAUGACUGACACACGCCCCCUCCGACACGUGUGCAGUAGCCGACUGCAUCUUUUCACCUGCAUGAGGAAGGUUCAUAUGCUGAUCAGCUUUGUGUACGGCGAGCCACACCCUCUCUGUGCAGAUGCCAUCAAUCAGCCAGCAGUGGUCGUAAUUGCAUCAGUUAUGAGGUCCCUUCCGGCACCCUCCCUUAAACAACAGCCAAUCGGUGUUCGUGUAGGGCCCAGCCUGCCGGAUGGCAGAGCUGAUUUUUGAACCGACGGGUUCCAAAUGUCAGCUCUGCUGUGCUAGCGUGUUUUACCGCUGCGCCACCUGAGCGCCCAUUCUUGUUGUAUUCCUCUAGUGAUGUGGACAUCUUAACAUUAUACAAAUUUGUGUGUAAGUGGGAGAGAAUAAAAAGGA